rnacentral:rRNA from 1 species
CCUACGGGAGGCAGCAGUGGGGAAUAUUGCACAAUGGGGGAAACCCUGAUGCAGCGACGCCGCGUGAGUGAAGAAGUACUUCGUUAUGUAAAGCUCUAUCAGCAGGGAAGAAAAUGACGGUACCUGAGUAAGAAGCCACGGCUAACUACGUGCCAGCAGCCGCGGUAAUACGGAGGGGGCAAGCGUUAUCCGGAUUUACUGGGUGUAAGGGGAGCGUAGACGGCAGUGCAGGUCUGGAGUGAAAGGCGGGGGCUCAACCCGCGGACUGCUCUGGAAACUGUACGGCUGGAGUGCAGGAGAGGUAAGUGGAAUGCCUAGUGUAGCGGUGAAAUGCGUAGAUAUUAGGAGGAACACCAGUUGCGAAGGCGGCUUACUGGACUGUAACUGACGUUGAGGCUCGAAAGCGUGGGUAGCAAACAGGAUUAGAUACCCUAGUAGUC